AGCUUUGCACAGUGGCAGUAUCAUAGCCAAUGAGGUUUAUCCGAGGCACGCUUAUUGCUAAUUGAAAACUUAUCAUUAUAAGAAUAUAUAAUUUGGGCAAAUUCCUUUACCUAUUGUAUGUUUUUUCUUUUGUUUUAAGAAUC